rnacentral:misc_RNA from 1 species
CCACAGCAUCAUAAUGGGAGGUAUCACCUCUAAUCACCGCACCGAUACACAAUAUUGAUUGAUACUUUCUUGACUUGCCAAGUUGCUGAGCGACAACACCAAUUUCAAAACUACCAGGAACCCACACAACAUCAAUGUCUUCUUCUCUAACUGAGUAACUCUUGAAUGUGUUCAAAGCUCCCUCCAAAAGCUUCUUGGUGAUCAGAUCAUUAAAACGUGCAACCACAAUAGCAAACCGAUGCCCCUUAGCAGAGAUAACUGAACCAUUCAACUGACGAACAGCAUCCGU